CGCAAUCGCAUUUUUCUGAUAACCUCUUCCAUUCCUCAACCCCUCUCUCCACUGCUUCUUUCCCACAUGGGAGCACAAACAAGAAGGUCGAGAGGCCGCCAUGGGAGUACAAGAACAGGGUCGAGAGGUUGCCACGAGAGAGCACAGCAAGGACGAGAGGAGUUUAGCACCGACGACGUCUCAUGGGUGAAGUCCGACAAUAGUGUUCCUGAUUUUCUUUUCGACUAGUAAUCAUCUUUUUUUUAAUUUAACUUUUUUUUUUCAUCAUUUUUCCAGUUCUCUUUAAUGUUUUUAACCCUCAAUUGGAACCUGAAGAAUUCUAUGAAAAUUUUGUAUUCUUUCCCUGGAAAUUUUCAAGGAAGCGGGCUCAGCCCAAAUCUAGGCCCAUUUUUUUUUUUGAAUCGUUCAUGUACAUAUGUGUAGCUGCAAAUUUACCGCUCAUUUUCCCUGUUCGAUUUCACUCCCCUUUCACCUGUAUCAUCUUCUCUUCGGACGAAGAACAACGUACUUCCAACAAUGGUUGAUGAUAACUCGUGCUGCUAGCUGCACUCAAUAUCGUUUUAUCCUAGGAAAUAGACGCUCACGUGACCUCGAGCACGUCCUAAAGGGAUGAAUCUGUUUCAAGGGGAUUGUGUGAAACACAGGACUCGGCUUUCUCAUGUCUUCCAAUCUUUCGGUUUCGUCUUUGUAACGGUUUGAAUUUCUAAGUUCUUAUACUAGUGAAAUUCAUUUAAUUUUAUAGCAUUCUAUUUAUCCAACUUGUUAUUCGAAUUGUCGUUCAAUUUGUACUUAUUACGGAUACUACUUUUACAUGAUGUUCGUUCGAUUGGUGCAUUUAUGAGCUUUGCUAUGAUCACUGAUCUUCGAUUCAGCUUCGCUUUGAUUGCUGAUCGAUUGUCUAAUUUGUGUUCAUCAUUGAUCUUUCGCAGAUGGAAAUGUGUUCACUGGUCUAGGACUUCUAGGUGAUGGUAAGUACGUGACCUCUGAUAUGCUCGCUGAUUCUCUACUACCAUUCCAUCGUGAGGUUCGUGGGGUUUAAACUACUAGGUUCGUUUGAGUGCUCUGCCACUUCGAGAGGCUCGUUCUUCGCGCUCCGAUGUCAGUUUUCGAAAGAUUUUGCACCUCUGAAUCUGCAAUUCAAUUUCCUAUUUUCUAGAAUUUUUAUGGAUUUUUAAGUAAAUUGUUUUUGACCCUAUUUUCGGUAAUCAUAUGUAUUUUCGCAAUUUCUAUAGAAAAAUUAGUUAUUCAGAUGAAAUUUGUUCUUGCUUUAUCUUUUUCUCUUUGCUCAUUGAUUUCUCUUCCAAACUACCCCAAUAAAGCACAGAUCAUUUUCCAACCUCUAAAGAGAGAAAGCUUAAUUGCGAUUGUUAAUGGUAGAUUCAAGAAGGAUUAGAUUCAUUCUAAGGGCGUGUUUGGGAAGUAAACAUGUUCAACUUUGCUUAUUUUUACUUGCAUGAGGACAAAGAAAGCCGUAGCUUUGAAAAUUAAGGGCCCAACCAGUUGACGUAUUAGACUUGUACCGACGACAAUGUCACAGGGUGCUCUUUUUCUUCUUCUUUUUUUGCCCUAUCGGUGGCCAAUUAUGACCGUUCGGUAGGGGCCAUCUUCCUACCCAACAGAAACCAUCGUUCCCUUCUCUAGAGUUCCAUCUUUGCCUCUGUUUUAGGGUUCCAUACAAUCACUCUCAUUUUCGAUCGAAGUCGGGCACAAGAACCAGCUAAUCAGCUCGAAAACUGUCAAUUAGUGACAAGGAAGAAGCCAUUUCACAGAUUAGUAGAGGCCCUACGGUGAUUUGCAGAGUGUAUGGGCGUGCAGAAGACAGGGAAAGACGCUGUCCGAAAAACAGUGAAAGCUCGACUUUGUCAAGAGAGAUUCCCGGAGUUAGUGAGGUCUGUCACCAAAGGAUAGAGAUUCCCGACUUAGGUCUUUAUCUAGGGCCCCUUCCAUUGCUUUGUUCACUUGCACGAUGGUCUUUAAGAACCGGUCCACCUCUACUUGGGAGAGCCAUCUACAGUCGAGAAGAACAGGGUGUUCAAGACAUUCCGAAACAAAGAUUGCAAGCACUACCGCCUGCUGAAUGAGCUUUUCAAUUCUUCAAGUGCUACUGGUGCUCUCCGUAUCUCCUCAAUCGAUCUACCGAGGACUUCAGAUGAGGAACAACAGCUGCAUGAGGAAUUCAUAUCAACAUCCAAGAAAAAGCAGAAACAGCCCGUCAACCUCCAAGAAGGCCCCGACGAGAGUGACGACCCUGUCCAGAUUCAAGAGCCUAUUAUAUUUGAGUCCCGACAUCGAGUGCGCAAAAGACCUUCAUCGAAAAGCUCAAAACUGCAGGAAUGUAUGGACUUGUUCAAGGCUAGUUUCAAACAGAAGCCACAUAGCACCCCACCAUCGUCAAAGAGAAACAAGUCUGUUUCAAGCCCUGAGAAGAAUAGCAUAUGGGAAGCCAUGGUGGAGUUGGAUAAAUUGAAACCGACAAUUCCUCAUCGCCUGUAUAUAGCUGGCAGCUUAACUCUCCUUGAUGACAAAAUGAUGAGGCUUUUCAUGUACUACACGGAAGACGGCCAAAGAAAAUGACUGCCGCAUGUUGCAGACUCUUAAAUCAGCUUGGGAUCCGGCUUUAUUUUUAGUUGAACUUUUUCGAUAAUCUCGUUUCUUUUUCUUUGUCAUGAAAUUACUCGUACUACUAUGUUUGUUAUGUGUGUUUGGAUAUGUUGACUUGAUUAUAUUUUAUGUGUGCUUGGAAUGUUUAUUUUGUACGGUUAUGAAUUAUUGUGUUUUAUUAUUAAUGACAUGUUCAUGAACUUUCUUUCAA